rnacentral:rRNA from 1 species
UACGAAGGGGGCUAGCGUUGUUCGGAAUCACUGGGCGUAAAGCGCACGCAGGCGGAUUGAUAAGUCGGGGGUGAAAUCCCGGGGCUCAACCUCGGAAUUGCCUUCGAUACUGUCCGUCUUGAGUCCGGGAGAGGUGAGUGGAAUUCCUAGUGUAGAGGUGAAAUUCGUAGAUAUUAGGAAGAACACCAGUGGCGAAGGCGGCUCACUGGCCCGGUACUGACGCUCAUGUGCGAAAGCGUGGGGAGCAAACAGG